rnacentral:rRNA from 1 species
GAUGAACGCUGGCGGCGUGCCUAAUACAUGCAAGUCGAGCGAAGGGACGAGAAUCGCGCUUUUCUGUUGUUAGCGGCGGAUGGGUGAGUAAUACGUGAAUAACCUACCUAUAAGACUUGGCUAACGUCGGGAAACCGUAGUUAUUACCGGAUAAUAUGUUGAACCGCAUGGUUCAAGAGUGAAAGAUGGUCUUGCUGUCGCUUAUAGAUCGAUCCGCGCUGCAGUGGCUAGUUGGUCAGGUAACGGCUUACCAAGUAAACGAUGGAUAGCCGACCUGGGAGGGUGAUAGGCCCCCUUGGAGGUGGAACACGGUCCAGGCUCCUACGGGACGCAGCAGUAGGGAAUCUUCGGCAGUGGGGGAAAACAUGGCGCAGCAACGCCGCGUGAGUGGCGGAGGUCCUGGGAUCGUAAAACUCUGUUAUUAGGGAAGAACAUCUGUGUAAGUAGCUGUGCCCAUCGUGACGGUAGCUACUCAGAAAGCAACGGCUAACUACGUG